rnacentral:rRNA from 1 species
AGAGAGAGACAUGCGCGCAUAUCAAUAAGCGGAGGAAAAGAAACUAACAAGGAUUCCCUUAGUAACGGCGAGUGAAGCGGGAAGAGCUCAAAUUUGAAAUCUUCAAGGUUUUACCUUGACGAAUUGUAGUUUAAAGAAGUGUUUUCUGCUGAAGUUUUGGUAAAAGUUCUUUGGAAUAGGACAUCAUAGAGGGUGAGAAUCCCGUAUUUGACCAUUAUUUUCAGCUUUGUGAUACACUUUCAAAGAGUCGGAUUGUUUGGGAAUGCAGUCCAAAAUGGGUGGUAAAUUUCAUCUAAAGCUAAAUAUUGGCGAGAGACCGAUAGCGAACAAGUACCGUGAGGGAAAGAUGAAAAGAACUUUGAAAAGAGAGUUAAACAGUACGUGAAAUUGUCAAAAGGGAAGCGUUUGACACCAGUGUUGUUUUCUCGAAAAUCAAUUAAAAAUGGCUCGAUUUUGUAUUGUUGAGACCUUAAAAGCUCACUGUACAUUUUUCGUGUCUUUUUUAAUGCACUUUUCGUUUAACAAGUCAACAUCAGUUUCUUUUGUUGUAAAAGGGUCAUUGGAAGGUGGCUUUCUUUUCGGAGAAAGUGUUUAUAGCCUUUGGCCUCUGCAAUCGGAAGAGACUGAGGUCUGCAGCGUAGACUCUUCGGGGUUAGAUACAUUUGUGCUAAGUUAUAGCUUUUUAUAGACAACUUGUUGACUAUAAUUAGUCUUGCAGCUUACUCGCUUAUGCUAUUUUACCUACGCUUAGGAUGUUGAGUCGUAGAGCACGCAG